CGCAUCUGUGCAUGCAGCAUAUCAAUAAGCGGAGGAAAAGAAACUAACAAGGAUUCCCCUAGUAACGGCGAGUGAAGCGGGAAGAGCUCAAAUUUGAAAUCUUAAAGGGUUUCCCUUUACGAAUUGUAGUUUAAAGAAGUGUUUUCUGUUGAGGUUUUGGUAAAAGUUCUUUGGAAUAGGACAUCAUAGAGGGUGAGAAUCCCGUAUUUGACCUUUACUUUCAACUUUGUGAUACACUUUCAAAGAGUCGGAUUGUUUGGGAAUGCAGUCCAAAAUGGGUGGUAAAUUUCAUCUAAAGCUAAAUAUUGGCGAGAGACCGAUAGCGAACAAGUACCGUGAGGGAAAGAUGAAAAGAACUUUGAAAAGAGAGUUAAACAGUACGUGAAAUUGUCAAAAGGGAAGCGUUUGACACCAGUGUUGUUUUUCUGAAAAUCAAUUAAAGAACUGUUUAUGCUAAGCUGUUUAGACUUUAUCAGCUAACUGUUUAGUUUUGAGCUUUUCUUUAAUGCACUUUUCAGUUAACAAGUCAACAUCAAUUUCUUUUGCUGUAAAAAAGCUUGAGGAAGGUGGCUUGAGAUUCGUCUUAAGUGUUUAUAGCCUCUUGCCUAUGCAGUCGGAGAGAUUGAGGUCUGCAGCGUAGAUCCUUCGGGGCUAAAUGCAUUUGUGCUAAGUUAUAGCAUUUUAUAGACAACUUGUUGACUAUGAUUUGUCUUGUAGCUUACUCGCUUAUGUUAUUUUACCUACGCUUAGGAUGUUGAGUCAUCACACAUCUC
rnacentral:rRNA from 1 species